AGUUAAAUACUAAUUUAAUUAAAAAACGAAAUACAUUAUUAAUUUCCAAAAAAGUAACCAAUCAAAAUCAACAAAUUAGAUUUGAUAUCUAAAUUUUAUAUUAAUUUUUUAUUAAUUAUUAUAGUUCACCUCUCAUCUUUAUAUGAUUCUAUUUUUGCGAAAAAAUAAUAUCAUCGUUAUAAAAAAAUAAUUAGAGUUGCUUCGCAUAUACCAUAAUUUGAAUUUUUAAAAACGAAUAUAAACUGUUCAAUACAUAAAAAAUAUUAUAACGGAUCAAAAAUAGAUUUAAGAAAAUUUUCUACUGAGUAUUGGGUCAUAAUUUGAAUAUUUAUAUUCAAUUUCAUACAUAUUAUUUUAAAAAUUUUUAAUCUUAUAUACUACAAUAAUUAAUAACAUAUUAGAUUUUUUUUAUGUGUAUGAUGUGAUUCAAUAUUUAAUAGAAGCUGGAAAAUCCUAGAAUUGACGGGUUUAAGGGCUUGAUUGGUUCUCCCUUUACCACCCGCAAACGCAGCGUUUGCGAUUGGUAGCGAUUGUUAGCGAUUGACACCAAUCAUAGAAACCGCUAGACAUCGCUUUGGACCGCUCGAAAUCGCCCGUUUUCAAAAGCUCCUUCCCGCAAGCGUUUGCGGUUGCGGGCGGUAGCGGUUAGGUUAAAAAAAUA
rnacentral:sRNA from 1 species